GAAAUGCGAUAAGAAUGUGAAUUGCAGAAUUCAGUGAAUCAUCGAAUCUUUGAACGCACAUUGCGCCCCCUGGUAUUCCGGGGGGCAUGCCUGUUCGAGCGUCAUUUCACCACUCAAGCCUCGCUUGGUAUUGGGCAACGCGGUCCGCCGCGUGCCUCAAAUCGACCGGCUGGGUCUUCUGUCCCCUAAGCGUUGUGGAAACUAUUCGCUAAAGGGUGUUCGGGAGGCUACGCCGUAAAACAACCCCAUUUCUAAGGUUGACCUCGGAUCAGGUAGGGAUACCCGCUGAACUUAAGC
rnacentral:misc_RNA from 1 species